GGAAUAUUGCACAAUGGGGGAAACCCUGAUGCAGCGACGCCGCGUGAGUGAAGAAGUAUCUCGGUACGUAAAGCUCUAUCAGCAGGGAAGAAAAUGACGGUACCUGACUAAGAAGCCCCGGCUAACUACGUGCCAGCAGCCGCGGUAAUACGUAGGGGGCCAGCGUUAUCCGGAUUUACUGGGUGUAAAGCGACCGUAGACGGCAGCGCAAGGCUGGGGUGAAAUGCCGGGGCCCAACCCCGGAACUGCUUUGGAAACUGUGCAGCUCGAGUGCAGGAGAGGUAAGCGAAAUUCCUAGUGUAGCGGUGAAAUGCGUAGAUAUUAGGAGGAACACCAGUGGCGAAGGCGGCUUACUGGACUGUAACUGACGUUGAGGCUCGAAAGCGUGGGGAGCAAA
rnacentral:rRNA from 1 species